ACUCCUACGGGAGGCAGCAGUGGGAAUAUUCACAAUGGGCGCAAGCCUGAUCCAGCCAUGCCGCGUGCAGGAAGACUGCCCUAUGGGUUGUAAACUGCUUUUAUACGGGGAAAGAAACACCCCUCGUGAGGGGGCUUACGGUACCGUAAGAAUAAGGAUCGGCUAACUCCGUGCCAGCAGCCGCGGUAAUACGGAGGAUCCAAGC
rnacentral:rRNA from 1 species